rnacentral:tRNA from 1 species
GCCUGGGUGGCGGAACUGGUAGACGCUGGGGACUUAAAAUCCCCUGGGGAUUUCCUCGUGCGGGUUCGAUUCCCGCCCCGGGCA